rnacentral:rRNA from 1 species
UACAGAGACUGCAAGCGUUAUUCGGAGUCACCGGGCGUAAAGGGUGCGCAGGCGGUUGGGGGUGUCCGGUGUGAAAGCCCGGGGCUUAACCCCGGAAUUGCGCCUGAAACUACAUGACUAGAGCAUUGGAGAGGGUAGCGGAAUUCACGGUGUAGCAGUGAAAUGCGUAGAUAUCAUGAGGAAUACCAGAGGCGAAGGCGGCUACCUGGACAAUUGCUGACGCUCAGGCCCGAAAGCGUGGGGAGCAAAAGGG